rnacentral:rRNA from 1 species
AGAGUUUGAUCAUGGCUCAGAACGAACGCUGGCGGCAGGCCUCAAACAUGCAAGUCUAGGGGGUGUAGCAAUACAUCACCGGCGGACGGGUGCGUAACGCGUGGGAAUAUACCUAUUGGUUCGGAACAACUGAGGGAAACUUCAGCUAAUACCGAAUGUGCCCUUACGGGGAAAGAUUUAUCGCCAAUGGAUUAGCCCGCGUCCGAUUAGCUAGUUGGUGGGGUAAUGGCCCACCAAGGCUCCGAUCGGUAGCUGUUCUGAGAGGAAGAUCAGCCACACUGGGACUGAGACACGGCCCAGACUCCUACGGGAGGCAGCAGUUGGGAAUCUUGGACAAUGGGGGAAACCCUGAUCCAGCCAUGCCGCGUGAGUGAUGAAGGCCUUCGGGUUGUAAAACUCUUUCGACGGGGACGAUAAUGACGGUACCCGUAGAAGAAGCUCCGGCUAACUUCGUGCCAGCAGCCGCGGUAAUACGAAGGGGGCUAGCGUUGUUCGGAAUUACUGGGCGUAAAGCGCGCGCAGGCGGUCUUUCAAGUCAGUGGUGAAAGCCCGGAGCUCAACUCCGGAAAUGCCAUUGAAACUGUAAGACUUGAGGAUGAGAGAGGUGAGUGGAAUUCCCAGUGUAGAGGUGAAAUUCGUAGAUAUUGGGAAGAACACCGGUGGCGAAGGCGGCUCACUGGCUCAUUUCUGACGCUCAGGCGCGACAGCGUGGGGAUCAAACAGGAUUAGAUACCCCCGUAGUCC